rnacentral:rRNA from 1 species
AUCAAGCUUAUCGAUACCGUCCCCGUUUGCAUGUACUUUAUGAAUAAGGAUCGGCUAACUCCGUGCCAGCAGCCGCGGUAAUACGGAGGAUCCGAGCGUUAUCCGGAUUUAUUGGGUUUAAAGGGAGCGUAGAUGGAUGUUUAAGUCAGUUGUGAAAGUUUGCGGCUCAACCGUAAAAUUGCAGUUGAUACUGGAUAUCUUGAGUGCAGUUGAGGCAGGCGGAAUUCGUGGUGUAGCGGUGAAAUGCUUAGAUAUCACGAAGAACUCCGAUUGCGAAGGCAGCCUGCUAAGCUGCAACUGACAUUGAGGCUCGAAAGUGUGGGUAUCAAACAGGAUUAGAUACCCUGGUAGUCCACACGGUAAACGAUGAAUACUCGCUGUUUGCGAUAUACGGCAAGCGGCCAAGCGAAAGCGUUAAGUAUUCCACCUGGGGAGUACGCCGGCAACGGUGAAACUCAAAGGAAUUGACGGGGGCCCGCACAAGCGGAGGAACAUGUGGUUUAAUUCGAUGAUACGCGAGGAACCUUACCCGGGCUUAAAUUGCAGAUGAAUUACGGUGAAAGCCGUAAGCCGCAAGGCAUCUGUGAAGGUGCUGCAUGGUUGUCGUCAGCUCGUGCCGUGAGGUGUCGGCUUAAGUGCCAUAACGAGCGCAACCCUUGUUGUCAGUUACUAACAGGUUUCGCUGAGGACUCUGACAAGACUGCCAUCGUAAGAUGUGAGGAAGGUGGGGAUGACGUCAAAUCAGCACGGCCCUUACGUCCGGGGCUACACACGUGUUACAAUGGGGGGUACAGAGGGCCGCUACCACGCGAGUGGAUGCCAAUCCCAAAAACCUCUCUCAGUUCGGACUGGAGUCUGCAACCCGACUCCACGAAGCUGGAUUCGCUAGUAAUCGCGCAUCAGCCACGGCGCGGUGAAUACGUUCCCGGGCCUUGUACACACCGCCCGUCAAGCCAUGGGAGCCGGGGGUACCUGAAGUGCGUAACCGCGAGGAGCGCCCUAGGGUAAAACUGGUGACUGGGGCUAAGUCGUAACAAGGUAGCCGUACCGGAAGGUGCGGCUG